rnacentral:rRNA from 1 species
GACGAACGCUGGCGGCGUGCUUAACACAUGCAAGUCGAACGGAAAGGCCCUGCUUUUGUGGGGUGCUCGAGUGGCGAACGGGUGAGUAACACGUGAGUAACCUGCCCUUGACUUUGGGAUAACUUCAGGAAACUGGGGCUAAUACCGGAUAGGAGCUCCUGCUGCAUGGUGGGGGUUGGAAAGUUUCGGCGGUUGGGGAUGGACUCGCGGCUUAUCAGCUUGUUGGUGGGGUAGUGGCUUACCAAGGCUUGGACGGGUAGCCGGCCUGAGAGGGUGACCGGCCACAUUGGGACUGAGAUACGGCCCAGACUCCUACGGGAGGCAGCAGUGGAGAAUAUUGCACAAUGGGCGGAAGCCUGAUGCAGCAACGCCGCGUGCGGGAUGACGGCCUUCGGGUUGUAAACCGCUUUCGCCUGUGACGAAGCGUGAGUGACGGUAAUGGGUAAAGAAGCACCGGCUAACUACGUG